rnacentral:tRNA from 1 species
GCGCCUAUAGCUCAGUUGGUAGAGCGGCUGACUCUUAAUCAGCGGGUCC